rnacentral:lncRNA from 1 species
AAUAAAGCUUUGCCGUAGAAGGAUCUGGUUGUCCGAGUGUGUUUUGCUGGCGAAACAUUACAAGGACAUCCCAUCCCACCUACACCAUGGACCACCCACAUCAAGGUCUCCAGGCUGAGGGUAGAGCUUGUACAAAAUGAAAAUUUUGGUCACCACUCCAGAGCUACUGAGUUAGAAACCAAGAGUGAUGUUUAGCAGUGAGCGUUCCAGCUGACUAUCAUGCUCACUGAAAUUGAGAGGCACGCACCUACUCUACGCUCACUCUUCACAUUCCCUAGAGCAUACACCACUCAUCUCUGCUAGUGGAUCACCUCUGAACGCUGUCUGCGCUGGGCUGAGGAUGCUCAUUACUGAAGUUCAAGGUUCUUACUGAUGUCACUGGAAAAUUUGUCUCUGCUCUGAGAAAUCACAGGGGUUAGUCUUUGUGACUCGUGAGGUGACUACACUAACACCUGGUGUUGAUAAGAUGGCAUGAAAACAGCCAGCUCUGGAAGUCGUGCGGAGUGAUGGCUCAGAAGUGAAUAGUGCUUGCUGCUCUUUCCAAGGACCCGAGAUGGGUUACCAGCACCCAUGUUCUCCAGAUCACAGUCUUCGCUAACUCCAGCUCCAGGGCUUCUAACCCCCUCUUCUGGCCUCCAUGGUCUUUCAUGUGUAUUCUGCAGAAGCCAGAAGGUCCCAUCGAGCUGGAGGUACCGG